rnacentral:rRNA from 1 species
CCUACGGGAGGCAGCAGUAGGGAAUUUUCGUCAAUGGGCGCAAGCCUGAACGAGCAAUGCCGCGUGAACGAGGAAGGUCUUCGGAUCGUAAAGUUCUGUUGAAGGGGAAAAAGAGCGGAGAGAGGAAAUGGUCUCCGAUUGAUAUUACCCUUCGAGGAAGUCACGGCUAACUACGUGCCAGCAGCCGCGGUAAUACGUAGGUGGCGAGCGUUAUCCGGAUUUAUUGGGUUUAAAGGGUGCGUAGGCGGUCCGUUAAGUCAGCGGUAAAAUUGCGGGGCUCAACCCCGUCGAGCCGUUGAAACUGG